UGAACGCUGGCGGCAUGCUUUACACAUGCACGUCGACCGGCAGCGCGGGCUUCGGCCUGGCGGCGAGUGGCGAACGGGUGAGUAAUACAUCGGAACGUGCCCAGUAGUGGGGGAUAGCUCGGCGAAAGCCGGAUUAAUACCGCAUACGACCUGAGGGUGAAAGCGGGGGAUCUUCGGACCUCGCGCUAUUGGAGCGGCCGAUGGCAGAUUAGCUAGUUGGUGGGGUAAAGGCCUACCAAGGCGACGAUCUGUAGCUGGUCUGAGAGGACGACCAGCCACACUGGGACUGAGACACGGCCCAGACUCCUACGGGAGGCAGCAGUGGGGAAUUUUGGACAAUGGGCGAAAGCCUGAUCCAGCAAUGCCGCGUGUGUGAUGAAGGCCUUCGGGUUGUAAAGCACUUUUGGCGGGAACGAAAAGGACUGUGCCAAUACCACGGUUCGAUGACGGUACCCGCAGAAUAAGCACCGGCUAACUACGUG
rnacentral:rRNA from 1 species